AUUGAAAUAGGGGACAAUUUUUAAAUGUUUUAAUAAAAGAAGUUUUAUAGGCAAUAGUUUUUAUGUUACUUAUUUUAGAAUUUUAUUGCAACAUUUGAAAAUUAUUGCCUAUUCCACUUUAGAGUACAGUUUUUAGUUGUUGCCAAAUAAUUGUUACUUAAAGUGAGGAUCAAUAGCAACACAUGAAAAAUAUUACUUAUUCAUUAAAAGAACGCUCCGAAAGAUGAGCUCUUUUGGAGCGCUCAUUCCAAGAGCGCUCCGAAAGAGUUGAUCUUCCGGAGCGCUCUUCAAAGAGCGCUUCAGAAGAUAGUCUUUCGGAGCACUUAAUUACGAGCGCUCCCGAAGGUCUUUUUAAAUUUUUUAUAAUAUUAUAUUUAUAUUAAUUAGGAGCGUUAUCUUAUUGAAAAGCCCUGACAUACAGGAGCGCUUUUCUAAAAAAGCGCUCCGGUAAAUUCCGCAUUUACAUUUUAGAGCACUUUUUAAAGAAGCGCUCCUAAAUACCCGCUCCUAAAGAUAUAUUCUGUAGUAGUGCAAAGUGUUGCUAGAGAUAAAAAAAAGUUGUAGUGUUAGGUGAAGAAAUUAGACUAUUUCUUAUUGGAAAGGAAAAGGAAAAACAGAAUGAACUUGUAUAUUUCUAAAACUUGUGCAUAACUUAAUUUUUAAUUUGACUAACAGUGAAUUUCUUACAAAUUGAUCAGGAUUGCAAAUGAAUAAGAGCAUAUCGUAGGGAUUGUUAGUGAAGUCUCUACUAGGAUUGAUUGUAAGCCUUUAUCUAUCACAGAUUAUCCAAUUGGACUUGUGCCCCGAGCAAAGGAUUUAAUCUCACGUUUAGAACUUGGGUCUACUAAGGAAACUAAAAUGGUAGGAAUUUGGGGUGCUGGUGGAAUAGGUAAAUCAACGGUUGCAAGAACUGUAUAUAAUUCAAUUAGUGAUCUUUUUGAAGGCGCAUGUUUUCUUUAAAAAGAUCUAAAAAUAUUAGCUUGUUACAUCUUCAAGAGACAUUACUCCAUCAAUUAGUCAUGGAGAAGGAUCUUAAAUUGGGUGAUAUUCAUGAAGGAAUACCAAUAAUAAAAUAUAGGCUUACCCGAAAGAAAAUUCUUUUGAUUCUUGAUGAUAUUGAUGAACCAAAACAAUUAAAAGCACUAGCUGGAAGUUGUGAUUGGUUUGGUUCUGGAAGUAGAAUUGUCAUCACAACAAGGAAUAAACAAUUGUUAGUAAGUCAUGGUAUUGAAAGUGAAAGUAUCUAUGAUGUUAAGGAAUUAAAUUAUGAGGAAUCUCUUCAGUUGCUAAAUUGGCAUGCCUUUAAAAAUGAAAAUCUGGAUUCUACCAGCAUGGAGGUUUGCAAUCGUGCUAUACAUUAUACUUGUGGCUUUCUAUUAGCUUUAAAAGUGAUGGGUUCUAACUUAUGUGGUAAAGGAGUUGAUCAAUGGAACAACGCAUUAGAUCAAUUUAAGGCAAUACCACAUAAAAGAGUUUUAGGAGCAGUCCAAUUAAGCUACGAUGCUUUAGGAGAAUUUGAGAAAAAAGUUUUCCUUGAUUUGGCUUGUUUCUUCAAUGGUGAGAAAUUGGAUGAUAUCAAGUGUAUGUUGCUAUGCCUUCAUGAAAUCAAACUGGAAUAUGCCAUCCAAGUGCUUAUUGAUAAAUUCCUUAUAAAUAUUGAAGGAGAUUGUGCAAUCAUGCAUGACAUAAUCAAAGAUAUGGGUAAAGAGAUUAUUCAUCAAGAAUCACAAGAUGAGCCUGGUGAACGUAGUAGGUUAUGGUUCUAUCAAGACAUUCCUCAAGUCUUACAACAUGACACAGUAAGACCAUGAACAUGCAUUUUUUUCUUUCAAAACUUGAACAUUAUUGAUGCUUAACCAAAGUUUGAAAUAUAUUAUGUGCUUUUCAUUUUGAAAGGGAACUAAUAAAGUUGAGGCCAUAGUUCUAGACUUACCUUAAGGUAAAGAAGUGCAAUGGAGUGGAGAGGAAUUUGUGAAGAUAAAGAAACUCAGAAUGCUUGUGAUAAAGAAUGCUCACUUUUCUAAAAGCCCCUCAUAUCUUCCAAAUAGUUUAAGGUGGUUGGAGUGGAAGAAAUAUCCCUUUAAACUUUUACCACAUGAUUUUUGUCCAAUAGAACUUGUUUAUCUCGACUUGUCUUAUAGUUAUGUUGAAUUGCUCUAGCCAUUUAAUAAGGUAAGUAUAGUUUAUUAGAACUACGUUUUUCUUUCCUUUUUUAUUUUUUUUAAAAAUAAAUGUUUGUUAAUGUUUUGCAAAAGUUUGAGAGUUUAAGACACAUGAAUUUUAAAAGCUGUAAAUCCUUACAAGGAAUACCAGAUUUAUCAGGAGCUUCUAAUUUAAUAGAGUUGUAUCUUGAUGAUUGUCCAAACUUGCUUGAAAUUCAUGAUUCAGUUGGAUGUUUAAAUAAACUUAGAGAAUUGAGUGCCAUGUGAUGCAAAAACUUGAAGAUUUUGCCUCAUGGCCUUAGUAUGGCAUCUCUUGAACAUCUUAAUCUAUUUGGAUGUUCAAGUCUACAAUACUUCCUAGAAAUAUUGGUGAAGAUGACAAAGAUGAGAACACUUGAAUUAGAUAAGACAACCAUUGUAGAUUUUCCAUCUUCAAUUUGCAAUCUCAUUAGGCUUGAAAUGUUAAACAUAGAGGAGUGCCAUCAUAUUAAACAACGUCCAGAUAGCAUUUUCAUGUUGCCAAAUCUUUCAUUACUUUGUACAAAUUUAUGUGAAGGGAUGAGAUAUUUGAAGAAAUGUGGAGAUGAAGAAGAAGCAAGUAUAGGCCACAGGAUAUUGUCUUAAAAAAUAGAAUAUUACUACUUUUCAAAUUGCAAUUUAUCAGAUGACUCUCUUGCUCUAUGCCUUUCUUACUUCCCAAAUUUGAUACAAUUAGAUCUAAGUCAUGGUAAAUUCAUAACUCUUCUUGCAUGCUUGGAAGAAUGUUACCAUAUGAAAUAUCUUGUCCUUCAUAAUUGCAAGCAACUUCAAUAUAAUUUGGGAAUGCCGCCAAACCUAGACAAAUUCAACGCCUUGCACACGGUUGACUGAGUUGUCCAAAAGUAGAGUAUUCAAUUAGGUUGUUCGCCAAGGGCAAGGCAAAAGAAACUAUGCUUUUCUAGAAAAGAAGUUCCCAAAAUUGCUUGACACAGUUAGCCACAACCCCUCUCUAUCCUUUUAGAUUCAUGAAGAGUUCCUUGUUGUGAUUCUUACAUGGAUUCUUGUUAAAGAUCUCAACUAUAACAUUGACAUUCACGUAUCCAUGUUCAUAAAUGGCACAUCUAAAGAUGUUACUGCAUUUCCUUAUCAACCGUUCUCAUUAUCAACAUUAGAGGCUAAUCAUAUGUAUGUAUAUGAUCUAUAUAGCUUUAUUGGAAAGACUGAACUCUUCGGUUCAUUUAAUCAGAAUUACUUGAAUCAUGUGUCGAUUUUCAUCAAGAACAGUACACCCAAAGUUUAAAUUGAUGGGAAAAUUUAUUUAGGAGCUAAUGUAUGUAAUGAAGAAAUCAAGUUUGAUAAUAAUAUCAUAUUCCUUAAACUAGGUAUUUAGAAUAUUCUUAUCUCUGCUUUUCCAUUUAUUCUCAGCCUUAUUAUUUAUGCUCUGCUAUGCAUGGCCGUUCUGCAUUCAAUGUUAGGAUACUCUUCCAAUAUUUGUUUUCUUAGCUUAUCUCCCUUGUAUUUUAAUUAGCACAUGAUUAGCUUGCAAAUAUUGCAAGUUGAAAUAUUUUUGGCUAUUUUGAAUUGAUGUUCAAGUAAAAUAGUAAAACAACAAAAAAUGUGACUAUUAAAUUUUUUUUUCUUUUACUCUAGCAAGGAAGAAAACCUAAUAUAUUCUCACAAAUAAUAGAAUAACAAUAACACGUGACUAUAAGCCAUAUUCCAUCCUAUUUAUAUGGGUCAACUAGUUAUAACUUAUCUAUUUAUUCAGUGAAUUUAACAUACUACACAUGUAAGUUUCAUCAAUGUAUGCUUGUAAUUUGUUCAUAUACUUACACCUUGAUUAUAAUAUUUUGAAGCUUUUUUGACAUGAUCAUAGACCUAUUGCAUCUAUCUAUUGCUAGUAGAAUGUGUACUUUUACUGUUAAAAUUAGUAGUAAUUAAUGGCUAUAAUAAUAUCAUCUUCUUUUGCACAAGGAUCGAGAUGUGAUGUAUUUUUUAGGCUUUCAUGGCAGCAAUUCCCACUCUUUCACGAACAAUUUAUGUUAUGCUUUACUUGAAAACAAUAUUAGUGCUUUCAAAGAUGUCGGGAGGUUCGGAUGGGGAGAAGAUAUUUGCCCAACCAUGAAGCAAUUGAAGAGUCAAGGAUUUCCAUUAUUAUAUUCUCUUAAUCUUAUGCUUCUUCCACAUGGAGUCUUGAUGUCCUUGCUAUGAUCAUCGAUUGUAUGAAAACAAAGGGCACAUUGGUUAUCCCAAUUUUCUACGAUGCAAAUCCUUCAGAUGUAAGACAUGAAUCAGGAAGUUUUAGAUUGGCAAAGGCUAGGCAUGAAAGCAUGGAAAAGGUGGAGAAGUGGAGGUUGGCUUUGUUUGAAGUAGCUCACAUGCGUGGUUGGCACUUAAAAAAAAGGAACUAAGGUACUUCUCCUCCAUUCGUCAAGCAUUUUCUUGGACUGCAAGACCUUAUUAAAUAACUUAGUUAGCCAUCACACCCCUUCUUCAUCUAAACAUUUUCACACUUCAAUAGGGAUACAAUUAGAUCUAUUGACUCUACCAUUUGUAAUUUUUUUAAGAGCUUCAUUUACCUUUGUUGUAAUAAAAUUCCCUUGAAAGUAGCCAUAGUGGUAUUCAUUAGUGGGUCAAGACUAUUCAAAGAGACCCAAGACACAUAUUUGAAAAGGCAUGCAUUUAGUCCAUCUUUCAAAACUCCCCGAGUCACAACAACGACCAUGAUCAAAACUACAUGAAGAGAAGUUUCCUUAGAAAAGCCAUUUGCAAACCCAAGCAUACAUUAACUAAACAUGGCCCACCAUUUAAAAGGAAAUCAAGAUUGCCAUGCAUGGAGUAACUCAUUACAGUAAGGGCUCGAUAUUGUAUUAGCUCAUCAGAGUUAAUUAGCAAAUAAUGAUGCAAAAUAGUUUUUAGUACCCCUUGGCUUUCAUCAAAAGCCAAAUAAAAAGACCAGUUGCUAAAAUAAACCGCACCAUGAAAGUGGAGGUUAGCCAUCAUCCAACAACAAUUGAAAUGUGCACUUACCAACUUUAUAAUGAAAUCUAGAACCUUAAUCAUAUAGGGCACAAUCCAAUGCAAAUAGGAACAACAAUUUCUAGCAUUCUUUCCAAGGCUCAAGCUAACUUGCAAGCUCUCAAUGCAUGUAACCUCACCAAGAACAAAAAUGAAAUUGGAAAAUUCAAACCUAAAGCAAUAAAGUUCAAGCACAACUAGAAAGAGGUCUUAGUAUCAAUAUUGAAGCAAUAGUUUCUCUGUAAACUCCUAGCAUUCAAAACUAAUCAAAUAUGCCAAUAAUCAAACACUCAUUGUGUCAUAUGGGUUCCAAAAUUUAAGGUUAAAGAGGGAUGAAUGUAACAAAGACUAAAAUAUCAAAUAAAAAGAAUUUACCAUCCCAUAAGUGCCCACCCUUCCACAACUUCAGCUGAUAAGCUAAGAUAAAGAACAUUUUCUACUAGAAUUAAAUAGACUUAGCUCUUGUUUUAAUUUCAUGGAAUGCUCCACACCUAAUUCUUCUAGGUGGUCGAAAAUUAAUUGAGGCAAGCAAGGUCAUUCUAUGGUUCAUGUGAAGGUCUUCAUUAGCAAUUCUUAGAACAAAAAUUAAUCAAUCACUGCAAAAAAAUAGUGAAUUAAUGAUGGAAUAAAUUUUCUUUGCUAAUCAGUCACAAAUCAUCACUAAUUUACUGAUGAAAUUUAGCAAUGGAACAUUCGGUCGCUAAAAAAUCAAUCACUAUUUUGUCACUAAGCCAUUAGAAAUAAUUUUACUGAUGAAAUUUAGCGACGAAAUAUUUCAUCGCUAAAAAUUCUUUCACUAUUUCUUCACUAUAUUGUCAGAAAUAAUUUUGUGAUGAAAUUUUUUGAUGGAAAAGUCCGUCGCUAAUUUUUAAGAUACGUUAUUCUCAUUUUGUGAUAGCAUUUGCAAUUGGAAAUUCUAUCACAAACCUUUCCAUCAUAAUUCUGUCACAAAUUAUUGUAAAUUUUAUUAUAUGAUUUAUGAUAUAUAUUUCUAUAUAAUUUAUUUAAUAAUUUAUUAUCAUACUAUAAAUCAAAAAUUUAAUAAUUAUAAUUUAUUAUUUUAAAUUAUUUAGAUAUUAAUAAUAAUUAUAAGAAUUUAAAUUAUAUAUUUAAUUAAUUUUUUGA